AAACCAUGCAUAGUUGAGCUAACCUCGUAGCUCAUCGAAAUCAAACAAAGGAACUCACUUAUAAACAAGAUAAGUGUUGAGCUAGUUUCAUUUUUUACUCUCUUUUCUUAAAGCCGAGCUCAUCUCGCCAGUUCGUAGUUACAACGUAACUCGCUGAAAUACCUCGACAUCAUUGACAUCGACAUCCUAGCUAGAUGCGCGAUCCGUAAAAAACGCAUUUCCAGUAGUGCAAUUUCUUAUAAGUCCCAAGGAACAAAAACCUUAUGACUAUACGAAAGUAAGCCGGGCCCAGUCCCGCAUAAUCUCUUAGAUCGCACGAGUAAAAAUGCCGAACACAUCUUCGCUACUCGGAUACGAUCUAAGAAGCUAACAGGUGGACCGAGUUAAUAUUCGCACCUACAACAUACUAAACCGAGUCCUUACUCGUAAACAAAACAGGAUAAGCCGAGGUCUUACCUCGCACCUACAGAUCUAAUAAGCCGAGUUCUCACUUCGCAUUUAUUUCAGUCUGUAUCUAUAUGUUCGAUUAACCAAGUUCAAACUCGCAUUAUAUUACUCGUCAAUCUUGCAGCUAUAUAGCUCGUUGACCUCGCAUCUUUGCGGCUCCUCGUUUAUACGACCUUGCAGCUCGUCAACCUCGCAGCUUGUCGACCUCGCAGCUCGUCGACCUUGCAGUUCAUCGACCACGCAGCUUUGCGGUUCCUCGUCUAUUCGACUUUGAGCUCGUCAACCUCACAGCUCGUCAACCUCGUAGUUUCUCGAUCUUGCAGCUCAUCAACUUCGCAGCUUAUCGACCUCGCAGCUUGUCGACCUCGCAGCUCGUCGACCUCGCAGCUUGUCGACCUCGCAGUUCUUCGCAUAUCUUGCAGUUCGCCGAACUCGAGCAGCUCUCUUUCAACGAACUGGGGGGAGGGCAAUUGUUGGAGGUGGGUUUAGCACCCCCCUAUUUAGCCCAACAGGCCCAUCAAAAUCCACCAGCAUUACAAUUUUGGCCCAUUAACAAGGCCCACAAAAUCAUCCCACCGUCAUCACGUCACCUACUCGCUCACUAUAAAUAGAAGAGAGGAGGAGACCAAGAAAGAGGAUCUCGGAAAGGAGAAGAGAAAUAGCUCGUGAAGGGAUGAGAACACCCA
rnacentral:lncRNA from 1 species